AAUGAACGUUGGCGGCAUGGAUUAGGCAUGCAAGUCGCGCGCGAAACGUAGCAAUACGUGGAGAGCGGCGAAAGGGAGAGGAAUACGUGGGAACCUACCUCGGGGCCUGGAAUAGCGGUGGGAAACUGCCGGUAAUGCCAGAUAACGUCUCCGGACCAAAGGUGUGAUUCCGCCUGGAGAUGGGCCCACGUCCUAUCAGCUUGUUGGUGUGGUAAUGGCGCACCAAGGCUAAGACGGGUAUGGGGUGUGAGAGCAUGCCCCCACUCACUGGGACUGAGACACUGCCCAGACACCUACGGGUGGCUGCAGUCGAGAAUCUUCGGCAAUGAGCGCAAGCUUGACCGAGCGAUGCCGCGUGCGGGAUGAAGGCCCUCGGGUUGUAAACCGCAGUCGUAGAGGAGUAAUGGUCAGGGGGUUCUCCCUCUGAUUUGAACAAUUCUAGGAGGAAGGACGGGCUAAGUUCGUGCCAGCAGCCGCAGUAACAC
rnacentral:rRNA from 1 species